AUGCACUUUUCUGAGCCUGAUUGGCUUUUUUCAUAAGCCACUCAAAAGGUCAAACACAGUGCAAGAUGAAUUCUUGUCAUAACUGGGGAUUCUUGGCAAUUCUACCAAGUUGCUCUUUUAAAGCAAGAUACAAAA
rnacentral:snoRNA from 1 species